rnacentral:rRNA from 1 species
GACGGAGGGUGCAAGCGUUAUCCGGAAUGAUUGGGCGUAAAGCGUCCGCAGGUGGCAGUUCAAGUCUGCUGUCAAAGACCGGGGCUUAACUUCGGAAAGGCAGUGGAAACUGAACAGCUAGAGUAUGGUAGGGGCAGAGGGAAUUCCUGGUGUAGCGGUGAAAUGCGUAGAGAUCAGGAAGAACAUCGGUGGCGAAGGCGCUCUGCUGGACCAUAACUGACACUCAGGGGCGAAAGCUAGGGGAGCGAAUGGG